rnacentral:tRNA from 1 species
GUGACCGAGGCCGAAGAAGACGAGGCCCUGGAUUGUGGCUCCAGGCGAAGCCGGUGCGAGUCCGGUCGGUCACCCCA